UUGGCAGAUUAACGCAAUCCUCUUGUGACCUCGGCACAACGCGCGCACAAACACACACGCCAAGAGACACACACGAGUCACAUGCACUCUGUGUCUCUCUCAUGACACACACGCACGCACGCAUUUGAGUACUACAGAGUACCUACCGGCUGCGAGGAUCUUCUUCUUGACUCCGGUCUUCUCCUCGACCUUCCCCAGGAAGUCGGUGACCACGUUCUUCUCGCCGAGGAGCUUUUCGGCUCGCUCUUUGGCCGCAGACAGGAAGCCGAGCAGGCCCAUGUCCUCGAUCAGGUCGUGAGGAAGACGAGCAAGAGAUUCAAUCCUCGGUGUACACCUGCCGCACUCGGGAGGGGGGGGGGAGUCGAAUGGGAUCAAAGCAGGUCCCUCAUUGGACCGAAACAAAGAUGAUGUCACAUGUUGCCACAGUGAUGCUUUUAGUUUUUGUUUGUUUGUUUUUUAUUAUUCCAAUCAACAGUUCUGGUAUUUGGUUCGGACUGGCGCCAGGCGGAAUCCUCGAACUUCCAAAUCCACCGCUUUUCAGGAGAGCAUAGAAACGGCACGUUUGUUGAACCUUCGUCGAAGAGAGUAAGCCAUGCCUGUCUAAACUACGGCCCGGGAGCCAUUUGCGGCCCGCCAUCCAUUUUUGAGCGGCCCUCGGCAUAUACUAAAAGUAAGAUUCGACACUUUGAAGCUUUGUAGGUGGACUUCUUGCCCAUUCUCGCUCGACGUACAGCUUCAGCUGUUCAACAGUCCGGGGUCUCCGUUGUCGUAUUUUACGCUUAAUAAUGCGCCACGCAUUUCCAAUGGGACUGCAGGCAGGCCAGUCUAGUACCCGCCCUCUUUUACUACGAAGCUACGCUGUUGUAACACGUGCAGAAUGAUUCUUCUUGAUGCGGCGCUCAGAGGGGAAAGUUUGGACACCCUUUGGUGACUUUACAUUGGAAAACAAAUACGAGUCCACCUCCAUCACUGAAAAUAAGCGAGCAAGUUUGCCUUGCUAGCCUAAGGCUAAAUGUCAUUGCAAACGCCACCGAGUGUCAUGAACCGUGUUCGCCUCUAUUGUACCCGCAUGUCUGGAGCGCUUGGGAGCAGGAAUGCAGCACGCGCAAGCCGGCGCACGCCGAAACACCGCACACGCCCGCCGACCUCUUCGCGGGAGCCGCUUCCGCCUCGGCCGUGCUGACAUGCGAGGGUACCGCGCUGUCAAGUACGUCCUGUUUCUCUUCUGCUACGUCUUCUGGGUGCUGAGCGCCAUACUGAUCGCGGUGGGAAUUUAUGCCAAGGUCGCCAAGGAGAAAGAUGUUGUGGACACUUUGGCGUUGGACCCUGCACUGCUCUUCAUGGCGAUUGGCUCCCUGACUUUCGUCAUCACGUUCCUGGGAUGUUUCGGCGCACUGCGUAACGCCACUUGCCCGCUCAAGAUGUUUGCGUCCAUCGUGGCCGUGUUGCUCCUCCUGCAGCUGACGGCGGCAAUUGCGGGCUACCUGUUCAGUGACGUGGUGAUAGAGCGGACGGAGCGUCUGAUGAUGAAAAGCGUCGUCCGCUAUCGGGAGGAUCGGGACUUGGACAACGCCAUCGACUUCGUCCAGAAGAAGUUCCAGUGCUGCGGCGUGGACAGCUACAAGGACUGGUCCGGGAACGUCUACUUCGAGUGUUCCGACUCCAAUCCCAGCUCGGAGGCCUGCGGCGUCCCCUUCUCCUGCUGCGUUGCCCCCGGCAACCGGACGGUGCCGAACACCAUGUGCGGUUUCGGGACGCGGCGGGCCUCGCGGGACAUCUUCCUGGCGGGAUGUCUGGACAAGAUCGUGCGGUGGCUGGACCGAAACAUCAGGACGGUGGCGGGGCUCGCCGGCGGACUGCUGCUCCUCGAGACGUGCGUGAUGUCGCUGGCUUUGGCUCAGGCGUGUUGGAUCAACAAAGUUCGGCGACGUGCGGCGGCGCUAGCGAGCAGGAGACCAUCGCACAAGAAAGACCACCUGUGGUUUCCCGCCUUCGCCCACUUUGACGACCAACGAGAUGACAUCGCAACUGAAAACCCGUUUCCAUGGUGACCUCUGACCAGCAACGCCUGUUGUUAGCACCUGCUUAGCAGAUAGCGCACACACACACAACAAACACACACACACACACUCAACUCAACUUUAUUUAUAGCACACUUUGCACACAAAGUGCUCUACAUAAUGUAAAAAGCAAACAUAAAAACCAUUAAACAGGACAGUACAAACAAAUGAAAAAAAUUGAAAAUAAAAACACUAACAGUGCAGAGUUUCAUGCUGAGUUGAACGCCAAUGAAUAAAAAUGGGUUUUAAGAUGAGAUUUAAAAGUGGACAGUGAAGGGGCUUGCCUAAUGUUUAGGGGGAGGUUAUUUGAGGGAACGGCAACGGAAAAAGCUCAAUCCCCUGUGAGCCUCUGUUUAGUCCUCGGUACAUCCAAGAGCGUCUGGUCAGGAGGCAAUGGGCAGGAGUGUAGGGGUGGAGCAGCUCAGAGAGGCGAGUUGGGGCCAGAGCAUUUCGAGAUUUCAAAACAAAUAAAAGAAUCUUAAAAUGGAUUAAAUAAAAUGCAUAGGAAGCCAGUGAAGGGAGUUCCAGAAUUGGGGUUAUGUGCUCCCUCCUACGUUCUCCAGUUUGGAGGCGAGCGGCAGCAUUUUGAGGGAGGACUGGCUGACUCCAAAAUAUAGUGCAUUCGGGUGAUGAAGAAGUGAUGGGUAAGUACCGCAUCCAGGAAAGCAACUUGGAGGGACAGAUGGUGGUAGACUUUGCAAAAAGGAUGCAAAUGGCUGCAGUGAACACUGUUUUCCAGAAGAGACACGAACAUAGGCUGACCUACAAGAGCGGAGGUAGAAGCACGCAGGUGGAUUACAUCUUGUGCAGACGAUGUCAUCUGAAGGAGGUUACCGACUGUAAGGUCGUGGUAGGGGAGAGUGUGGCUAGAAACCAUAGGUGCGUAAGAUGACUCUGGUGGUGGGGAGGAAGAUUAGGAAGACAAAGGCAGAGCAGAGAACCAUGUGGUGAAAGAUGAGACAGGACGAGCGUUGUGCAGCUUUUCGGGAAGAUUUGAGACAAGCUCUCGGUGGACAGAAGUAGCUUGUAGAAGACUGGACCACUGCAGCCAAGGUGAUCAGAGAGGCAGGCAGAAGAGUACUUGGUGUAUCUUCCGGCAGGAAAGGAGAGAAGGAGACUUGGUGGUGGAACCUCACAGUACAGGAAGUCCUACAAGGAAAAAGGUUAGCUAAGAAGAAGUGGGACACUGAGAGGACCGAGGAGAUGCGAAAGGAAUACGUGGAGAAGAGACACAGGGAAAAGGUAGAGGUGGCAAAGGCCAAACAAGAGGCAUAGGAUGAAAUGUAUGCCAGGUGGGACACUAAAGAAGGAGAAAAGGAUCUCUACAGGCUGGCCAGACAGAGGGAUGGAGAUGGGAAGGAUGUGCAGCAGGUUAGGGUGAUUAAGGAUAGAUGGAAAUAUGUUGACUGGUGCCAGUAGUGUGCUAGAUAGAUGGAAAGAAUAAUUUGAGGAGUUGAUGAAUGAGGAAAAUGAGAGAGAAGGGAGAGCAGAAGAGGCAAGUGUGGUGGACCAGGAAGUGGCAAUGAUUAGUAAGGGGGAAGUUAGAAAGGCAUUAAAGAGGAUGAAAAAUGGAAAGGCAGUUGGUCCUGAUGACAUUCCUGUGGAGGUAUGGAAGCAUCUCGGAGAGGUGGCUGUGGAGUUUUUGACCAGCUUGUUCAACAGAAUUCUAGCGGGUGAGAAGAUGCCUGAGGAAUGCAGGAAAAGUGUGCCGGGGCCCAUUUUUAAGGACAAGGGUGAUGUGCAGAGCUGUGGGAACUAGAGAGGAAUAAAGUGGAGGAGCCACACAAUGACGUUAUGGGAAAGAGUCGUGGAGGCGAGACUCGGGACAGAAGUGAGUAUUUGCGAGCAACAGUAUGGUUUCAUGCCUACAAAGAGUACCGCAGAUGCAUUAUUUGCCUUGAGGAUCUUGAUGGAAAAGUACAGAGAAGGUCAGAAGGAGCUACGUUGUGUCUUUGUAGAUCUAGAGAAAUCCAAUCACAGAGUACCCAGAGAGGAACUGUGGUACUGCAUGCGGACGUCUGGUGUGGCAGAGAAGUAUGUGAGAAUAAUACAGGACAUGUACGAGGGCAGCAGAACAGCGGUGAGGUGAAUUGAAGGCGGAGGUGGGACUGCAUCAGGGAUCAGCCCUGAGCCCCUUCCUUUUUGCAGUGGUGAUGGAUAGGCCGACAGAUGACGCUAGACUGGAAAAAGUUAGAGAGAGCAGACUUGGAUGGUUUGGACACGUCCAGAGGAGAGAGAGUCAGUAAAUUGGUAGAAGGGUGAUGAGGAUGGAGCUGCCAGGCAAGAGAGCGAGAGGAAGACCGAAGAGAACGUCGAUGGACGUCGUGAGGGAAGACAUGAGGGCCGUCGGUGUUGGAGAGGAGGAUGCAGGAGAGAGGCUGACCUGGAAAAGGAUGACGCGCUGUGGCGACCCCUAAAGGGACAAGCCCAAAGGCAAAGAAGAAGACAGUAAUCCACGCACACACCAAAUAAGUCGGUACAGGAACGACUACGGGAAGUGCAUCCCGGGUCCCGGCGGCUCGGCGGACGCCUCGGACAUGUUGAGGAAAUGAACCCCAACGAG